UGGAGAUAUUGGCGCAAUGGCGGAGCUGACGCAGCGACGCCGCGUGGGGGAUGACGGCCUUCGGUUGUAAACCUCUUUCAGUAGGGACGAAGCGGAAGUGACGGUACCUACAGAAGAAGCACCGGCCAACUACGUGCCAGCAGCCGCGGUAAUACGUAGGGUGCAAGCGUUGUCCGGAAUUAUUGGGCGUAAAGAGCUCGUAGGCGGUCUGUCACGUCGGCUGUGAAAUCCCGAGGCUCAACCUCGGGUCUGCAGUCGAUACGGGCAAACUAGAGUAUUGCAGGGAGACUGGAAUUCCUGGUGUAGCGGUGAAAUGCGCAGAUAUCAGGAGGAACACCGGUGGCGAAGGC
rnacentral:rRNA from 1 species